rnacentral:rRNA from 1 species
UUGACCUACGGGAGGCAGCAGUCGGGAAUAUUGCGCAAUGGAGGCAACUCUGACGCAGUGACGCCGCGUAUAGGAAGAAGGUUUUCGGAUUGUAAACUAUUGUCCUCAGGGAAGAAAAAAGACUGUACCUGAGAAGAAAGCUCCGGCUAACUACGUGCCAGCAGCCGCGGUAAUACGUAGGGAGCAAGCGUUAUCCGGAUUUAUUGGGCGUAAAGGGAACGCAGGCGGUCUUUUAAGUCUGAUGUGAAAGCCUUCGGCUUAACCGGAGUAGUGCAUUGGAAACUGGGAGACUUGAGUGCAGAAGA